GUUUCUCAUACAUACUCUCCUAAUCCUCAAAGCCGAGGUACGUGCAGAGAGCAGCACACACUCUCGCAUUCAGAUCCAGACAUGUGCGUAUGAACGUACUUACUUUAACGCUCAACACAGGAGAUGAGAAGCAGGUACAGGGAGUGAACCAUUUAAUAUAGACGGACAUGCAACGGAACAAGAAAAGCGUCUGGACAUAAACACGACAAACAAUGCAACUAGGGAACAACAGAGGAGCAGACAUAUAUGCAGGGACAAAUCAACAAAGUGAGGGAGUCCAGCCCAAGCAGCGAACUGUCAACCAUGGAGGCCAGAGUGACAGUCAGUGAGACGGAGAAUGCAGCCCUGGAGGCCAAAGUAACAGCCAGGCAGGUAGAGGUGGAGGAGCUGAUGAGAGAGAUCGCCAGAACAUCAAAUCAAAGUUUGUCACGUGCGCCGAAUACAACAGCUCCCCUUACAGUGAAAUUCUUACUUACAGGCUCUAACCAAUAGUGCAAAAAAAGGU